UAGCAGCUACGUUUGAAACUGUUGGUUCAGCCACAGGUUUUUUCUGUUGCAAAUGUUGUCCAAGGUUGUCUUGUGACUCAGACUUAGUAGUAGCUAUAUUUGGAACGUUUAGCUCAGCCACAGGUUUUUCCUCUUGUACUUGUUCUUCAACCACAGGUUUUUCCUCUUGUACUUGUUCUUCAUGGUCUUCCUGUUCAUCCACUUGUUUUUCAGUGGAGGAUUCAGGAUUUUCUGUAUGCAUUUUCUGGAGUGUCUUCAGCUUGUCAGCAUAUCUACUU
rnacentral:lncRNA from 1 species